AAUAGUAUGGAAGAAUUUUGAUGCAUCUUGGAGCAAUGGCAACAUAUUUGGGAGUUGUGAGUGACAACGAGCAGAUUACAUAACAAUGGGAGGAUAACAAGGGCCUUAACUGAAAAAACUGGUGAAUGUUCCCAAAUAAACCUCACAGAUGUAGAAGAAACACAAAAUAAAUUUGUUUAUUUAUUUUAUUUCUGUUCCCUACUAAACUAGUAAUAAAACAUACUUUUUACAAAUA